GUCGAGGGGUAACAUUAGUGCUUGCACUAGAUGACGACCGGCGCACGGGUGCGUAACGCGUAUAGAAUCUACCUUUUACAGGGGGAUAGCCUUUAGAAAUGAAGAUUAAUAUCCCAUGGCAUUGCGAAGUGGCAUCACUUUGUAAUUAAAGAUUUAUCGGUAAAAGAUGACUAUGCGUCCUAUUAGUCAGUUGGUAAGGUAACGGCUUACCAAGACAUCGAUAGGUAGGGGUCCCGAGAGGGAGAUCCCCCACACUGGUACUGAGACACGGACCAGACUCCUACGGGAGGCAGCAGUGAGGAAUAUUGGGCAAUGGAGGCAACUCUGACCCAGCCAUGCCGCGUGCAGGAAGACUGCCCUAUGGGUUGUAAACUGCUUUUAUACAGGAAGAAACACUGCUACGUGUAGCAGCUUGACGGUACUGUAAGAAUAAGGACCGGCUAACUCCGUGCCAGCAGCCGCAGUAAUACGGAGGGUCCGAGCGUUAUCCGGAAUCAUUGGGUUUAAAGGGUCCGCAGGCGGUCAAUUAAGUCAGAGGUGAAAUCCCAUAGCUUAACUAUGGAACUGCCUUUGAUACUGGUUGACUUGAGUCAUACGGAAGUACAUAGAAUGUGUAGU
rnacentral:rRNA from 1 species